AGUGAACGCUGGCGGUAGGCCUAACACAUGCAAGUCGAACGGCAGCACAGUAAGAGCUUGCUCUUACGGGUGGCGAGUGGCGGACGGGUGAGGAAUACAUCGGAAUCUACUUUUUCGUGGGGGAUAACGUAGGGAAACUUACGCUAAUACCGCAUACGACCUACGGGUGAAAGCAGGGGAUCUUCGGACCUUGCGCGAUUGAAUGAGCCGAUGUCGGAUUAGCUAGUUGGCGGGGUAAAGGCCCACCAAGGCGACGAUCCGUAGCUGGUCUGAGAGGAUGAUCAGCCACACUGGAACUGAGACACGGUCCAGACUCCUACGGGAGGCAGCAGUGGGGAAUAUUGGACGAUGGGCGCAAGCCUGAUCCAGCCAUACCGCGUGGGUGAAGAAGGCCUUCGGGUUGUAAAGCCCUUUUGUUGGGAAAGAAAGGCAGCAGGUUAAUACCCCGCUGUUCUGACGGUACCCAAAGAAUAAGCACCGGCUAACUUCGUG
rnacentral:rRNA from 1 species